GGGGACCACCGGACAGUUCGUGAGGUUUUGGCACUCUCUAAAGCCAAUUCCCACGGGCUCGUGUUCCUAUCGGAGACACGGCAAGCCUCAAGUCAGAUGGAGAAACUCAAAUGGAGACUGCAGUUGAAAGGUUUCACGGGUGUGUCAUGUGAGGGGCUCAGUGGAGGGCUUGCCCUGUACUGGGAUGAAAAGUUACAAGUUACGGUCUUGGAUUCUUGUGCACAGUAUAUUGACGUGUGA
rnacentral:rRNA from 1 species